AUUUCUUCUAUUUCAUUUAUAUAUUUCUCUUCUGUGUACAAAAUAUUCUAUUAGUUCAUUCAUUAUGGAGGGAAGAGACUAAUUUUCUAACCAUUUCAAAAAAUCGUUCAUUUUUACUCAUCACAUUUAAAAUACUAGUUUGCUUCUAUUUUUUUUUUUGGUUGAUUAUUCAAAUUGACCCUAUAAUAUAUGCGAUGUUUGUAAAAUAAUCCUGUAAAAUACAAAACACAUAUUCUAUCCCUCUAAUUUGACGUUCUUCUUAUUUUUGACCCUAUAGUAUAUGCAUGCAUAGUCCACAAAAGUGACCUAGAGGUUGAACUUUGUCAUGAUCUUUUCCAAACAAGUUUAGGACGUUAAAAUAUAUCUAUACACCAAAAGAACAAAUAGAUUUUUCC
rnacentral:lncRNA from 1 species